UGGCUAAACAUGAUGAUGCUUUCAUUGCCCUUCCCGGUGGAUAUGGGACAAUGGAGGAGCUGUUAGAAAUGACAGGUUGGUCACAUAUAGGAAUACAUGAAAAGCCUAUGAGUGGUAGUUUUUCUUAACAAAUUUCUCUCUAUAUGUAUAUGAUUUGAUUGACAAUUUUACUUCUUAAGUUAUUUGAA